CCCAGUGAACGGCGGCCGUAACUAUAACGGUCCUAAGGUAGCGAAAUUCCUUGUCAGGUAAGUUCUGACCCGCACGAAAGGCGUAAUGAUUUGGGCACUGUCUCAACAGCCCGCCCGGCGAAAUUGUAGUACUGGUGAAGAUGCCAGUUACCCGCAACUAGACGGAAAGACCCCAUGGAGCUUUACUGUAGCUUAAUACUGGAAUUCGGUAAAUCAUGUACAGGAUAGGUGGGAGACUUGGAAACCAGGGCGUCAGCUUUGGCGGAGUCACCCUUGGGAUACCACCCUUGAUUUGCUGGGUUUCUAACCUGCGGCCGUGAAUCCGGUCGGGGGACACUGUUAGGCGGGCAGUUUGACUGGGGCGGUCGCCUCCUAAAGAGUAACGGAGGCGCUCAAAGGUUGGCUCAGCACGGACGGAAAUCGUGCAGUGAGUGUAAACGUAGAAGCCAGCCUAACUGCGAGACCGACGGGUCGAGCAGUAACGAAAGUUGGAGUUAGUGAUCCGGUGGUAUGUGAGUGGAAAUGCCAUCGCUCAACGGAUAAAAGCUACCCUGGGGAUAACAGGCUGAUCUCCCCCAAGCGUCCACAGCGACGGGGAGGUUUGGCACCUCGAUGUCGGCUCGUCACAUCCUGGGGCUGAAUUCGGUCCCAAGGGUUCGGCUGUUCGCCGAUUAAAGUGGCACGCGAGCUGGGUUCAGAACGUCGUGAGACAGUUCGGUCCCUAUCUGUUGCGGGCGUAAGAGAUUUGAAGGGAGCUGUCCUUAGUACGAGAGGACCGGGAUGGACGUACCUCUGGUGCACCAGUUGUCCUGCCAAGGGCAUAGCUGGGUAGCUAAGUACGGACGAGAUAAACGCUGAAAGCAUCUAAGCGUGAAACUCCCCCUAAGAUGAGAUCUCUCACCUCGAAAGAGGGUAAGGGCCCAGGAAGACUACCUGGUAGAUAGGCCGGAGGUGGAAGUGCAGUAAUGUAUGGAGCUGACCGGUACUAAUAGCCCGAGGGCUUGACCUA
rnacentral:rRNA from 1 species